rnacentral:lncRNA from 1 species
GAUCUGCUGUUGAAAGGGAGCCAGUAUGGGGAGCACCGCCUCUUUUGUGCCUAUUCACGGACAAUGAGCUAAUUACAGUCUCUCUCCUGCUGGAGGGUGGAGGGAGAUAUCCUGUUAUUCCAGUGAACAGGCAAAGCUCUAAAGAGGAUUAUUAACAUCAUUACCAUUAUCAUCAUUACUGCAAUUCUGGCUAAGGGAGCUGUGAGUUGCAUCCUAUUUGAAUGUCUCCCACUGGAUGGGAAGGAAGCAGUGAGGGCCUCCUAAGUAAACCAACAAUCA